ACCCGAAAAGCAGACCCCAGAAACCUAACGCUUGCCCCGCCCAUCUCUCCUUCUCCCAAAACCGACCCAAAAAAGCAUAAAGGAUUCUUCUUUGCUCUACGAAAUUGCGCACAACCGCCCGACAAGCCCUUCGUUUUUGUGUAAACUGUGCAACGGACCACUGCCCCAAGCAAAACCCACUUACUCAAAUUUCCAAUUUCUAUCUCAAUCAAUUUGCCCUAAUUUCAGUUUAUCCCCAAAUUAAGCGCUUGUCCCCCCUAUUCUAUGCAAGCAACCCACCAGAAAAUUUUAUAAAUUUUAACACCUGGGUUCUGUUCCUGUGAGCUUUCUGGUUGGAUUUGAGGUGGAAAGGAGGAAGCUUUUUUUGUUUCAAUGGAGAGUGGAGGUUCUGCAAGUGGGUCGUUGACUAAGUCAACGCUGUCCAGGGAGGAGAAUUUUGCCGUGUCUUCUGAGGACUCUUCUACCCCUGAGGAUUCUGGGCUCGAGCUCUGUCUUGGGCUGAGCCUUGGUGGUGGUGGAGGGAAGGACCAGCAGGGGCAAAGGGGUCACUUUGCGAGGAUCUUGACUGCUAAGGAUUUUCCUUCUGUGGGGUUCUCUUCUUCGUCGGCUUCCGAGUCGUCGUCUUCUACUUCUUCGUUGAGCAGCGGUAAUGUUGCUGCUGGAACCAAGAGAAGUGCUGAUUCUGUGGCUGCUGCUAAUGGCGCCAGUCAGGUUGUUGGAUGGCCUCCUAUCAGAGCUUAUAGAUUGAAUAGUUUGGUUCUCCAAGCGAAAUCUUCAUCGACUGAAGGACUUAACUCAGUAAAUGAGAAAAGUGAGUGCAAGACUGGUGCGGGGAAGGUUAACAAUGGAGGUCACAAGUCCAAUGGAAAUGCUAAGGAGAUAGGGCAGCAGAGGGGUUCCCUGUUUGUGAAGGUGAAUAUGGACGGGAUUCCUAUCGGGCGAAAGGUUAAUCUCAGUGCGCAUAGUUCCUAUGAAGCGCUAGCACAAAAAUUGGAGGAUAUGUUUGGGCCCUCGACACAUGGUUCAGGUGGUCAGGAGAUGGAAGAAGCAACAAGACCCUCAAAGUUGCUGGAUGGAUCAUUUGAGUUUGCGCUCACUUAUGAAGAUAAAGAUGGAGACUGGAUGCUUGUGGGAGAUGUUCCUUGGGAGAUGUUUCUUGGUACUGUCAAGAGGUUAAGGAUUAUGAGGACAUCUGAGGCUAAUGGACUUGCUCCCCUGUUACAGGAAAAGAAUGUGAGGCAAAGAUGUAAGCCAACCUAGAUCCUUUUCUCAUAAGAUAAGCAAGAAGAGACAACCUGCGUUUGAAAGUGUGUACAAAGUGGACAAAACUUAUAGUUGGAGCAUUUUGGAAAGAAGAGGGAGAAACCGACUUGUUGAAAUUUCAUUACCAUAUCAAGAAGUUGAACCCUCGAAAAUGGACACUGCUUCGCUCCUUGCACAAUGGAAGAAGAACCCCAUGGGAAGAAGGUAUGGAUGCCUACGUGUUUUCACAUGGGCUUAUACCAAGGCACCCCCGAAACCUUUUCAUGGUGCUUAUGGCUGGCUGCACGUGUCCCACAUGCAUGAGUUGGGGUUCCAUGAUGCUUUGGGACCCACAUUUGGUAGACUAAUCUGAAGUGAAAUACCCAGUGAGUGCAUAGUGCAUACCAAUGAUACAACCCCAGUGUGCCAAGACCGUAUCUUGUUCAUUUUUGGUACAAAUUUGUAGUUCAUUGUUUCAAUCAUGAUUAUUAAUUCGGGAAAUAGUAUUUUGAUUCAAGAGUUAGAGUUUAGAAGUGAACAAGAACAAGGGCUUCAAGAAACAUGAUGACAUGAUAUUAUCAUCUCUUAUAUAGCUUUUUUAUAAUUAUUUUGGGCAAAUCUCAGUUUACUAUUCAAGUUUCGUAGUUUUCAAUAUUUAAUAUAUGAAGUUUUUUU